AAAAAAAGAAGAAGAAAUAAAUAACUGCUUCAAUGUCCAUUAAACGAAAUAACUGGGUAUCCAAGCCUCGGGAAGCAUCGGUAUUCACGCUGAAAAGUAUGAUGGAUAAAAGCAGCUUGACUAGUCUAAAUUUUGUGGCCUUUGUUACUCGAGUUAGUAAAUCCUUAGGGGUGUCUCUACACCUAGUGCCCUAAAGCCAUCUGGUUUGGGAGUCAUUGGUCCAACGCUCGCUCUACAUGGGUAACUCUGAAAAGCCUAAGAAAAUAAGACAUUGCACAAGUCAAGAAUUAAAAAAAAA
rnacentral:lncRNA from 1 species